rnacentral:rRNA from 1 species
GACGAACGCUGGCGGCGUGCUUAACACAUGCAAGUCGAACGGAAAGGCCCUGCUUUUGUGGGGUGCUCGAGUGGCGAACGGGUGAGUAACACGUGAGUAACCUGCCCUUGACUUUGGGAUAACUUCAGGAAACUGGGGCUAAUACCGGAUAGGAGCUCCUGCUGCAUGGUGGGGGUUGGAAAGUUUCGGCGGUUGGGGAUGGACUCGCGGCUUAUCAGCUUGUUGGUGGGGUAGUGGCUUACCAAGGCUUUGACGGGUAGCCGGCCUGAGAGGGUGACCGGCCACAAUGGGAAUGGGAUACGGCCCAGGCUCCUACGGGAGGCAGCAGUGGGGAAUAUUGCACAAUGGGCGGAAGCCUGAUGCAGCAACGCCGCGUGCGGGAUGACGGCCUUCGGGUUGUAAACCGCUUUCGCCUGUGACGAAGCGUGAGUGACGGUAAUGGGUAAAGAAGCACCGGCUAACUACGUG